UACGUAGGGUGCAAGCGUUGUCCGGAAUUAUUGGGCGUAAAGAGCUCGUAGGCGGUUUGUCGCGUCUGCUGUGAAAACUGGAGGCUCAACCUCCAGCCUGCAGUGGGUACGGGCAGACUAGAGUGCGGUAGGGGAGAUUGGAAUUCCUGGUGUAGCGGUGGAAUGCGCAGAUAUCAGGAGGAACACCAAUAGCGAAGGCAGCUCGCUGGGACGGUACUGACGCUAAGGCGCGAAAGCGUGGGGAGCGAACAGG
rnacentral:rRNA from 1 species